CCUGAAAGGGCGGGGUGCCCGCAAGGGAGCGUGGAGACAGGUGGUGCAUGGCUGUCGUCAGCUCGUGUCGUGAGAUGUUGGGUUAAGUCCCGCAACGAGCGCAACCCUCACUCCUAGUUGCCACCGGGUAACGCCGAGCACUCGAGGGGAACUGCCAGCGCCAAGCUGGAGGAAGGCGGGGAUGACGUCAAGUCAUCAUGCCCCUUACGCCCUGGGCUACACACGUGCUACAAUGGUUAGUACAAAGGGAUGCGAGACCGCGAGGUGGAGCAAAUCCCAAAAAGCUGGCCUAAGUUCAGAUUGCAGUCUGCAACUCGACUGCAUGAAGGAGGAAUCGCUAGUAAUCGCGCAUCAGCACGGCGCGGUGAGUACGUUCCCGGGCCUUGUACACACCGCCCGUCACACCACGAAAGCUGG
rnacentral:rRNA from 1 species